CAGUCGCCGCGGUAAUACAGAGGGUGCGAGCGUUAAUCGGAUUUACUGGGCGUAAAGCGUGCGUAGGCGGCUUCUUAAGUCGGAUGUGAAAUCCCUGAGCUUAACUUAGGAAUUGCAUUCGAUACUGGGAAGCUAGAGUAUGGGAUAGGAUGGUAGAAUUCCAGGUGUAGCGGUGAAAUGCGUAGAGAUCUGGAGGAAUACCGAUGGCGAAGGCAGCCAUCUGGCCUAAUACUGACGCUGAGGUACGAAAGCAUGGGGAGCAAACAGGAUUAGAUACCCGCGUAGUCCCUGUCUCUUAUAC
rnacentral:rRNA from 1 species